CCUACGGGAGGCAGCAGUGAGGAAUAUUGGUCAAUGGGCGGGAGCCUGAACCAGCCAAGUCGCGUGAGGGAAGACGGUCCUAUGGAUUGUAAACCUCUUUAGGCGGGGAGCAAUGCCGGGCACGCGUGCCCGGAGGGAGAGUACCCGCAGAAUAAGCAUCGGCUAACUCCGUGCCAGCAGCCGCGGUAAUACGGAGGAUGCGAGCGUUAUCCGGAUUUAGUGGGUUUAAAGGGUGCGUAGGCGGAUUUUUAAGUCAGCGGUAAAAUGUCCGGGCUCAACCCGGGCCGGCCGUUGAAACUGGGGAUCUUGAGUGGGCGAGAAGUAUGCGGAAUGCGUGGUGUAGCGGUGAAAUGCAGAGAUAUCACGCAGAACUCCGAGUGCGAAGGCAGCAUACCGGCGCCCGACUGACGCUGAGGCACGAAAGCGUGGGGAUCGAACAGGAUUAGAUACCCCAGUAGUC
rnacentral:rRNA from 1 species